GACGAACGCUGGCGGCGUGCUUAACACAUGCAAGUCGAACGGAAAGGCCCUGCUUUUGUGGGGUGCUCGAGUGGCGAACGGGUGAGUAACACGUGAGUAACCUGCCCUUGACUUUGGGAUAACUUCAGGAAACUGGGGCUAAUACCGGAUAGGAGCUCCUGCUGCAUGGUGGGGGUUGGAAAGUUUCGGCGGUUGGGGAUGGACUCGCGGCUUAUCAGCUUGUUGGUGGGGUAGUGGCUUACCAAGGCUUUGACGGGUAGCCGGCCUGAGAGGGUGACCGGCCACAUUAGGACUGAGAUACGGCCCAGACUCCUACGGGAGGCAGCAGUGGGGAAUAUUGCACAAUGAGCGGAAGCCUGAUGCAGCAACGCAGCGUGCGGGAUGACGGCCUUCGGGUUGUAAACCGCUUUCGCCUGUGACGAAGCGUGAGUGACGGUAAUGGGUAAAGAAGCACCGGCUAACUACGUG
rnacentral:rRNA from 1 species